AAUCUGCUCAGCGAGGGAGAGUUACAUGUCGCCGGGCCCAGCACCUAGGUAAUGUGACUCUCCCCUCCUGUUUGGGCCCUCCCAACAGUGGGAAAUGUGAGAUGUCACUGGGCUCAUCACCUAGGUGAUGUAAUGCCUCUCCCCUUUAUUGACCCACCCACAGUGGGUAUUGUGACAUAUUACCGUGUUCAACAGCUAAAUGAUGUGACUCUUUUCUCCUGAGUGAGCCCUGCUCACAGGCCUUGAACCCAGAUGAUUUAACUCUCCUAUCUGAUCAACAGCUAAAUGAUGUGACUCUUUUCUCCUGAGUGAGCCCUGCUCAUAGGCCUUGAACCCAGAUGAUUUAACUCUCCUAUCUGGGCUCUGCCUAUGGAGAACACUGUGACAUCUCUGCACCCAUCAUCUAGGUGAUGUGACUCUCCUCUCCUGCCUGGUUCUGGCUCACAGAAGGGAAUGUAACAUAUCUCUGGAUCCAGCACCUAGGGAGUGGAAAUGCCCUUGAAGAAUAAAAAUAAAGUGACUGCUGAUUAAGCAGAGAGUUUCACAUGAAAAAAGGAUUCCUUCUCAGAUAAGAUUCUGUGGACAAAUUACACCGCAUCUUAAGACUAUGCCUUGAAAGGUGUCAGCACCACAUGUUUUCCUGCUACCACCACACCCACAGGCAGAAGACCCAAAACAGAAAAAACUCCACCCAUUUCUGUACUUUAUAACAGAAGAGAUUCAGCAACAAUGAGCUGCUCUACAGAUAUAAAAAUACAAGUUUCUCCUUUCCUGUCUUCAGGUGCCCUCCCCUGCCAGCAAUUUCUGCUACAGUAAUAAAAAUAUGAGCCACACUGCCCUGUCCCUAUGAAACCCCCAAAAAAAGAGGCUCUAGCACUACCCUUUAGUGCACAGGUGAAACUUAACUCUCAUAAAUGUAUCUUGAACCCCGUAUACUUGAUUCUGGCCACAACUUAAGAGUCACAUGAGGCAGUUAAUUAAAAUAACAUGAAUGCUUCCACCCAGAACAUUAAACAGAACCUGUGGGAAGGGUACCAGUAAAGGGAGUUCUGCAAACUGGCCAUGUGAUUGUAAUUAGCAGCCUGGGCUUAUAACCACUUAACUAAGCAUUGCCUCUCAAGCUUUAUUGAGCUUAUAAAUCACUUGGUAAUGUUGGUCUCAAUCUAUGUAAUGUGAUUCUGCAGGUAUGGAAAGGUCCAUGAAUGGGUGUUUUAAAUAAGUCCCCUGUCAAUGCUGAUGAUGCUCCCGCUAGGCUCAUUAUUAGCAUUAGUUAGAGAAAGCAGGCACAGCACAGAGUCCCUUACACUUGGCACUCUUGUUACAACACAAUUACUUCUGGAACAAAUGAAGACAACCAAUCUCCAUCUUAAAGUAUCAUAAUCUUUGUUGGCUUUUUAAAGUUUACAGAGAAAACAGAAAGCAGCAAUAUCUGACUGAGUCUGCACUUAUUUAUUUUUUUUAUUUUUAUUUUUUUGGGGAUAGAGUCUCACUCUGUUGCCCAGGCUGGAGUGCAGUGGCGAGAUCUGUGCUCACUGCAACCUCUGCCUCCCACGCUCAAGCGAUUCUCCUGCCUCAGCCUCCCGAGUAGCUGGAACUACAGGCAUGCGCCACCAUGCCUGGCUAAUUUUUUUGUUGUUGUUGUAUUUUUAGUAGAGACAGACUUCACUAUGUUGGUCAGGCUGGUCUCGAACUCCUGACCUCAAAUGAUCUGCCUGCCUCGGCCUCCCAAAGCACUGGAUUACCGGCGUGAGCCACCACGCCCAGACCUUUGCUUUUGCACUGUAACUACUUCAGCUUGCAAAUAAGUACCUUGGAUAAUAAUCAAGUUUCUGUCAAAGGAACUUACUCUGUAUCUCUUAGUAUUUAUCAUUCUGUAUUGCUAAAUUUAAUUCUACCUUUGUGUCCAACUUUCAAGUGCUCUUAAAAUGAGCUUUACUCUGAACAAAUCUGUGUGUACUUUUAAUGACCGAAAAUUAAAAAAAUAAAC